GAGUCCUCUGUGAGUGUACCUUCAACAUCUACCUGGUGAGAAGACAGAGCUGGUCUGCGGGUGUCAACUGUGUAUCAGACAGAGGGGACACUGUCCAGGGGAUGUUGCUGGGAGAGCAGAAACCCAACGUGUAGCAGCUGAGAACCCACAGAUGGGAUUCCCCCCCGUGAUGGCCUGUCCAGGCAAGUUUACAAAGUAACCAGGUGGUGAUCAUACUGAGCACUGUUUUUGGUCAGUUCCACAGGCAUUUAUUUAUUUACUUAUCUAUUCAUCUAUCUAUCUAUUUAUUUAUUUUUCAGUUGUAGAUGGACACAAUACCUUUAUUUGUUUAUUUAUUUUUAUGUGGUGCCAGGGAUCAAACUCAGUGCCUCAAGUAUGCUUGGUAAAUGCUCUACCACUGAGCCACAACUGCAGUCCCUUUAUUUUCUUUUUUUAAGUCUCCUAAAAUUACACAUAUUUCUUCUGAGUCUUUCAUAAUCUCAAAUGUUGGGCAGCACAGAUUGAAAAAUAAAUUCUAUGCAUUUAAGCUGCAUUGACGAUUCAUAUCUUGUGGUCUAGGCCAGGAAAAAACAGAAAACAUUUUAGUGACCGAAAUAGCUCUGUCGGGCUUUACAUGUCCCUUUAACCCAGACUUUACCUACAUGAAAACCUUUUAGUAAAAAUGUGGAUGUGUAACCGAUGUGAUUCUGCAAUUUGUAUUUGGGGUAAAAAUGGGAGUUCAUAACCCACUUGAAUCAAAUGUAUGAAAGAUGAUAUGUC
rnacentral:lncRNA from 1 species